CUCGAGGUAUCAGGUAAUAACAAAGAGUUCGAUCCUGGCUCAGAUUGAACGCUGGCGGGAUGCUUUACACAUGCAAGUCGAACGACAACACGGACUUCGGUCUGGCAGUGGCGAACGGGUGAAGUAAUGUAUCGGAACAUUACUAAUGUGGGGGACGCUUGCACGCAGCCUUCAAUACCGCAUACGCCCUUCGAGGAAAGCGGGGACCUUCCGGGACUCGCACUAUUAAACGGCCGAUAUCCGGAUUAGCUAGUUGGUGGAGUAACGGCUCACCAAGGCGACGAUCCGUAGCUGGUUUGAGAGGACGACCAGCCACACUGGGACUGAGACACGGCCCAGACUCCUACAGGAGGCAACGGUGUGAUUUACCCGGACAAUGGAAACCUGAUCCAGCCAUCCCGCGUGUGCGAUGAAGGCCUUCGGGUUGUAAAGCACUUUUGGCAGGAAAGAAACGGCCUGGAUAAUGCCCGUGCAACUGACGUUACCUGCGAAUAACACCAGCUACUUCAGUACCAGCAGCCGCGGUAAUACGUAGGGUGCAAGCGUUAAUCGGAAUUACUGGGCGUAAAGCGUGCGCGAGCGGUUCGGAAAAGAAGAUGUGAAAAUCUGACACUUUUGAACUGCAUUUUUAACUACCGAGCUAGAGUGUGUCAGAGGUGGAAUGCGAUGGCGUGAAAUGCGUAGAUAUGCGGAGGAACACCGAUGGCGAAGGCGGCCUCCUGGGAUCAACACUGGCGCUCAUGCACGAAAGCGGCUAGGGAGCAAACAGGAUUAGAAUACCCUGGUAGUCCACGCCUAAACGAUGUCAACUAGCUGUUGGGGCCUUCGGGCAUGACGCAACUAACGCGUGAAGUUGACCGCCUGGGAAGUACGGUCGCAGAUUAAAACUCAAAGAGGUGACGAGUUACUGGUGGAUGAUGUUGAUUAAUUCGAUGCAACAUGAAAACCUUACCUACAUGACAUGUCUGGAAUCCCGAAGAGAUUCCGAGUGCUCGCAAGAGAACCGGAACACAGGGUGCUGCAUGGCUGUCGUCAGCUCGUGUCGUGAGAUGUUAGGUUAAGUCCCGCAACGAGCGCAACCCUUGUCGUGGUUGCCGCUGAAAGGGCAUCGUGAGACUGCCGGUGACAAACCGGAGGAAGGUGGGGAUGACGUCAGUCCUCAUGGCCCUUAUGGGUAGGGCUUCACGCGUCAUACAAUGGUCGGGACAGAGGGUCGCCAACCCGCGAGGAAGGCCAAUCCCAAGAAACCCGAUCGUGAUCGGAUCGCAGUCUGCAACUUCGACUGCGUGAAGUCAGAAUCGCUGGCAGUAAUCAUGGUCAGCAUGUCGCGGUGAAUACGUUCCCGGGUCUUUAUACCACACCGCCCGUCACACCAUGGAGUGGGUUUUGCCAGAAGCCAGAUUAGCCUAACCGUAAGGGAGGGCGAUUACGGUAGGAUUCAUGACUGGGGUGAAGUCGUAACAAGGUAA
rnacentral:rRNA from 1 species